CCAGACUCCUACGGGAGGCAGCAGUGAGGAAUAUUGGUCAAUGGCCGAGAGGCUGAACCAGCCAAGUCGCGUGAGGGAAGACGGCCCUACGGGUUGUAAACCUCUUUUGUCGGGGAGCAAAGCGAGUCACGUGUGACUCAUUGAGAGUACCCGAAGAAAAAGCAUCGGCUAACUCCGUGCCAGCAGCCGCGGUAAUACGGAGGAUGCGAGCGUUAUCCGGAUUUAUUGGGUUUAAAGGGUGCGCAGGCGGAGGUGCAAGUCAGCGGUAAAAUUGCGGUGCUCAACGCCGUAGAGCCGUUGAAACUGGGGCUCUUGAGUGAGCGAGAAGUAUGCGGAAUGCGUGGUGUAGCGGUGAAAUGCAUAGAUAUCACGCAGAACUCCGAUUGCGAAGGCAGCAUACCGGCGCUCAACUGACGCUCAUGCACGAAAGCGUGGGUAUCGAACAGGAUUAGAUACCCUAGUAA
rnacentral:rRNA from 1 species